GACGAACGCUGGCGGCGUGCUUAACACAUGCAAGUCGAACGAAGUGGCGAACGGGUGAGUAACGCGUAAUCAACCUGCCCUUCAGAGGGGGACAACAGUUGGAAACGACUGCUAAUACCGCAUACUGAAGGAGGGGAUUGCGUCUGAUUAGCUAGUUGGAGGGGUAACGGCCCACCAAGGCGAUGAUCAGUAGCCGGGCCUGGGGGGUGAACGGCCAAAUUGGGACUUGGACACGGCCCAAACGCCGAAGGGGGGCAGCAGUGGGGAAUCUUCCGCAAUGGACGAAAGUCUGACGGAGCAACGCCGCGUGAGUGAUGACGGCCUUCGGGUUGUAAAGCUCUGUUAAUCGGGACGCGGUACCGGAAUAGAAAGCCACGGCUAACUACGUGCCAGCAGCCGCGGUAAUUC
rnacentral:rRNA from 1 species